UUUCCGUAGGUGAACCUGCGGAAGGAUCAUUCAUAAUAAGUGUUUUACUGCACUUUUUAAAAAUAGUACUCACCUUGUGUGCUAUGUUGUGUUUCUUUUCGGAGAAACACCUACACCAACCUAUAACCUUGAACCACUUUGUCUGAAAAACUAUUAUGAAUACUUAAUUCAAAAUACAACUUUCAACAACGGAUCUCUUGGCUCUC
rnacentral:misc_RNA from 1 species